rnacentral:rRNA from 1 species
GACGAACGCUGGCGGCGUGCUUAACACAUGCAAGUCGAACGGAAAGGCCCUGCUUUUGUUGGGUUCUUGAUUGGCGAACGGGUGAGUAACACGUGAGUAACCUGUCCUUGUCUUUCUGAUAACUUCUGGAAACUGGGGCUAUUACCCGAUAGGAGCUCCUGCUGCAUGUUGGUGGUUGGAAAGUGUCGGCGGUUGGGGAUAGACUCGCGGCUUAUCAGCUUGUUGGUGUGGUAGGUACUUACCAAGGCUUUGACGGCUAGCCUGCCUGAGAGGGUGACCGGGCACAUUGGGACUGAGGUACGGACCAGACUCGUAUGGGACGCAGCAGUGGGGAAUAUUGCGGAGUGAGGGGAAGCCUGAUGCAGAAACGCCGCGUGCGGGAUGACGGGCUUCGGGUUGUAAACAGAUGUCGCAUGUGCCGAAGAGUGAGUGACGGUAAUGGGUAAAGAAGCACCGGCUAACUACGUG